CACGUAGGCACCAAGCGUUGUCCGGAUUUAUUGGGCGUAAAGAGCUCGUAGGCGGUUCGAUAAGUCGGGUGUGAAAACUUUGGGCUCAACCCAAAGCGUGCAUUCGAUACUGUUGUGACUAGAGUUCGGUAGGGGAGUGGGGAAUUCCUAGUGUAGCGGUGAAAUGCGCAGAUAUUAGGAGGAACACCGAUGGCGAAGGCAGUUCUCUGGGCCGUAACUGACGCUGAGGAGCGAAAGCGUGGGGAGCGAACAGG
rnacentral:rRNA from 1 species